rnacentral:lncRNA from 1 species
ACGGUGUACGGUGAUGCUUCCCAAGUGCACAUCCAUCGCAAACCUGCUCUACUCUCUUGAUGAGGGGAAUGCCUUCCACCAUUGCCUUGGCCCCCAAGGUUUGGAGUGCUCGAAAAUUCAGAUGUCCGUACCGGGCAUGCCACAAUCAAGCCUCCUCUUCCAUCUUGGACAACAAGCAGAUCGGUGAACUGAGCUUGAUCUUCAUGACAUAAAGACGGUUCUUCCUUUCUGCUCGAAUAAGAACUCUUCUCUGCUGAUGCAGGCCUUGAUCACGCUCAAACACCUCCAUGACUCCGUGGUCUAUCUCAACCCGGUGUCCUCCUUCUUCAAGUUGUCCAAGACUAAUUAUAUUACAUUUGAGGGAAGGUAUGUAGUAUACCUCGGUGAGCACUCUGUGCUCAUUGUUCUUCCCAGCGAUGGUGACGGCGCCGAUCCCAUGAAUCUCCACCGUGGAUCCAUCUCCAAAACGUACUGCGCCACGCACUGACUUGUCAAGGCUCGAGAGUGCCUCACUGCAGCCCGUCAUAUGAUUCGUGGCGCCUGUAUCCAGGAUCCACGCGCCUUCACUAUACACGCCAGGGAAUACACGUUCCUGAUUCAGGAACACAGUUGGUGUGUGCUUGAUCGGCGAGCGGAUCACCGUGCACACCUGUGCCACCAUCAGCGCCCCGGUUUCGAUAUCGGCCGCAGCAUGGUGAGCACCUUCCUGCCUUUCCUCCUUCUGCUUGGUCUUGCACUCUUUUGCAAAGUGCCCGUACUUCUUGCACUUGUUGCAUCUACCGUUUCUCCUCGGUGUCCCCAUGGACGUGAGUCUUACUCCGGAAUCGCGUGCUUCGCCUCCUCCACGCGUUCCAGUCUUGUCCUUGCGGACAUAACGGCCACCGCUAUUCUUCUGAUUCGAGGAUGAUGAAGACCCAUCCUGAAUCAUACGACUCUUGUGCUUUGCCAACCACUCUUCUUCAGAGAGCAGAAGUUUCGGCAUCUUCUCUGUGACCUCCUCCGUCGAGGGCUCAAAACGAUCUUCAGCCGCUCUUUGCCGGCCAACGAGCUCCUCGAGCGUUAGAGUUUUCAUGUCGCAGAACAUCUCGAUAGUGACCGCUACCUGAUUGUAGCGUGCCGGCACCACACGGAGGAAUUUCUUGACAACUCGACUGUCAGCAAUCUUCUCUCCCAAUCCUUCCAGAUCCGUGGCUAACUUCAAGAUUCUGAUUGCAAAUUCAUCAAUUGUCUCUCCUUGCUUGAAAGUGAUCUGUUCAAACUCAGACAAGAGCUUUUGAGCAUUGACUUCCUUAACUCGAUCUGCUCCAAGUCUCAUUGUCUUGAGCGCCUCCCAUGCCUCCUUGGCGUUCUUCUUCUUCAGCAACAUGGAAUGCAUCUCAGUUGGCACACCGCGGAGCAUAGCUCCCAAACCUAGUCUGUCCCGACGUCGCUCAACUUUUGCAUCCUCAAUUGCAUCCCAGAGAAACAUCCCCUCAAGAUUGCAUUGAAUAUGAGACGUCCACUCUUGAUAAUUUGUACGAGUUAAGAUCGGCCAGAUCAAGUUCCCGGCUGCCUGGUUGAACGCCCGAUCCAUCACGUCCUUGUCUUUCUCCGACGAACUCAUCUCGGCGUUGUUAGAGUUCUCGCCUUCUUCUUCUUCUUCUUGAUGAUGAUCUGAGUCACCUAGCUUCGUCAUCUACUCUCCAAUUGCACCGAACACCUCUCCUGUCAAGCCCAAACGGCUCUGAUACCACGUGUUGGAACCGAAUAGCGUUCCUGUGCGCGAACCCGGCGACGCUCGACGGCGGUGACCACGGCGAGAGCUAGAAGAUGAACUCAAGAUAGAAUUAAUUAGGCGCUGCCCAACAUUGCAGCCUUUCGGUCUAUUAUUCAUGCUCUUAUAUACACAUGAUGCAGAUACAAUCUUGGCGUUUGUGCCAAGGACUCUCCGCGCCAGAUCACGGCCGUGCGCGACUCCGUUUCACUGCGGAGCACGCCGCGUGCGCAGCACGCGUUCUGGUGCCGGAUACAAGACCGACUCGGCUUAGAUCACGAUCCAGCACGCCACCGAUCGUGUCAUAGCCCACUACGACUAAUGCAUGAUCUAAACAAUACUUGAAACAAAGAUUACAUUGGUUUGCUAUCUAGUUUAGAUAACACAGACUGCAGAGGCGCUCGGCUCAGACGCCGCCGCUGCCGCUGCUCGUGCCCGGCUCGGCUGCUCGGUACGGUGCUCGCCGUGCGCCCGUGCCCUGCUGCGACUGCGACUGCGAGGACGUCGUCAGGUCAGCGUGCGCGCGAAGUGCACGGUCUGAAAUCAGCCGUGGCCGCGACGCUCACGUACUACGAUGUACUACCUGCUGCUGCCUGCUGGAACCUGCUCCGUGCUAUUCUACGUUUUUCGCCGCGGUGCAUGCAUGGGGCGUUGUUACCAGGUGCAGAGAUUCUUGAUAUGAUGAUGGCCGCCCGUGGCAAGUGGCAUGGCAUGCAGGGCGCCACACGGAUGGACGGCGGCAGCGCUACUGCUAAACUGCACUGGGCACUGCACGAGUGCACGUCCAUCUACGAUCGAGCACAUGGGUGCUCACAGACAGCGCAGCGCUUGUCGUUGCACGUUUUCACUUUCACGUGCGUCCUGUGAUGAACUGAUGAUGAGGCUCAGGCUGUCUGUGGGUUUGGUUUUGUGACUGCUGAUGGGUCCGACCACCAGCGCUGCUCCUGCUCCUGCUGCGCUCCUGUCACUGAAUGGCUAGCUUCAAACUGGUUUUUGCGUUGUGUGUUUGUAAUGGCAAGGGGGCGGGGGAAAGAUUCUAGCCACCUAGCCAGCUCCAUCUCAAUGCAUGAUAUGCCGCGCGCACCAAGCACUGAAAUUGAGGCUUGCAUGGAACUUUCACAUACUCGUGCAGGGAGAUUCUCGAGUCUUUUCGCGCCAGUCGACAGGCGUCAAAGGACAAAGCCUUGCAUGCAAUGCAACACGCACUCACUGCCACUCCCUAUGCACAGCAUGCAUGAUCCCCAUCAGAGUCCCAGAGCUAGCUCAGGUUGAGGGGCAUGGCAGCCAUGCCCAUGCCCCCAAGCUAGCUAGUCCCCGGGCGCUUGGCGCUGGCCCGGCCCUCACUCCCUUGCUACCCAUCCACUAGUUAUCGCAGAUUCGCAGGCAUAAACUAAUCCGGCCGGCUGCAGCUAGUCAUCGGCAACGCUGCAGUAUAAAUUCAGGGCAGCUCCAUCGACGAGCCCCUGGGGGACCAGGCUGGGAGAGCCCCUCCCUGGUCUCCUCUCCUCUUCUAUCCGAGCUCGGCAUUCAGGGCUACUACACCCGCGCUUACAUGCAUCCAUUCAUGCAUAUUCAUAUAUGCAUAUGCAUUGUUCGUUCUGAAAAGGGGAAGGUUUUUGAUCGAGAGGCAAUGCAAUGAUCAGGUAUGGAUUAUUUGGACAUUUAAUUCCACGCAUGGUUCUUCAGUGAUUAUCUGUGUCCAUGCAUCUCUGAACUAAGGAUGUACCAGCAGGGUGUGGUCGAGGUCGAUCGUGGAUCAUGGCCGCAGCCGGCGGCCGCAUGCAUGCAUGGGAUGAUGCUGUAGGCACACACAACUCUGUGCGCGGCCAGCGGCAUUGGCGCCUCCUGUCGCCACAGCUUUGGAUAGAGGAACCAAAAAAACGGGUCAUGUGGCUAGCAGCUUCUGUCGUUUAUUUUCACUUUAUUAAUUAGUUAUAUAAUCGCAUGCUCUAUUGUUGGUAACUGUUGUACUAUAUAUAUCUAGUUCUCUUCGCUGUUCAGAAGAUUGUAGAACUUAUGCAAUUCUAGUUUCCUCUUUCAUCCUGAGUUUUUUUCUUCUUGCCGUGGUUGUUUGAAUGCUUCUUAGUACUCUGUAUAUCACUAUGCAGUUUUGUAUAUGCACUUUAACAUAACUACCAAAGUUUUGAUUGAAUAUAUAUACAAUACAUGGUACUACCGAACAAAGUAGACGGAUUGAACCAGUAAUCGUUUUUUUUAUCGAACAUACAUCACCGAGUGAGUUCAAAUGAUUUCCCCUGAAAAUGGUACAGAUGCCGCAUUUUAUUAGAAGCGUCCAUGUUGUUUGAGUGAUUUGAGCUGAAGAUUUUUCAUAAAUGCAUUUUGUAUUAGAAAAGGUUACAUCAGACAAAACUAACUUUGCAUAAAUGCAUCGAUGAGCACAGGUGCAUGCGACAACAAAUACAAAUUAAAACUAAUAACUUUACAUAGGCUCUUUGGAAUUAUGAAAUAAUACUUAACUAUAGAGACUUGCUAAAAUUCAGGUGCCUAGAUUUUAGAUUUCUUUCUGGCGAUGAUUAUUGUAUAUAUUUUAUACUAAAAUACUUUGUUGAAAUUUAUGUAGACAUAAUCAAUAAUAGACAAAACCACAAACUUAAUAAAAUAUGAUCUAUAUUGGCACAAAGACAAUUAAUAAUUAAUAAUUAUUUUUAAAGUUAAACAAGAAAAAUUGAUAUGAUAUGGUAUAAAUACAAAGAACAAAUCAUAAAAUAUGCUUGUAGUUGGUUGUACAUAAGAGCGCUGCCUGAAAUUUAGACACCUAAAAUAUAGGAAAAGUUAUAAAUAUAUGUAUAUUAAAGCAUAGCUGAUAAGAUAGCUUGAGCCAUCAUCACUAGUCCACUCGUACAAUGUUUGCUUUGAAGCAUGUGUAGAGGUGAACCCUUACAUGAGAAUAAGUGCAUCUCCUUUAUGUUAACCAGCCCAUAGCAACUCUUGCUUAGCGCAACCUAUGCUAUAUAAGUAUUAAAAUUUUUAAUCAACUUGAUUAUAUUUAUCCAUUUAGAUACUUUAUGGUCUCUAUGAGGCUGUGAUAAAUUUACAAAUUACUCUAUCUAUGUUUUUCUUUGCAUUGCACUUCUAUGAUAUAUAAAAUAUAUAUAUCACUAAAAAACUACAUAUAUAGUUGAAAUCGUACCUUAAGUUUGUCAACUAUUGUUGCAUCCUUUUUGCAACAUUAUGAUAUACAUUUAAAUUUAUGAUCUCACUAAUCGUUGUAUAUUUUCUAUCCACAUGUCAAAUACAUUUUUUUUGUACUUAUUGUAUAUUUUAUUCAAAAAAUACUUUUAUAUUUUAUAUAAAAUGAUUAUACAAACUUAAUUACUGUAAUAAUGGUAUAAAGUAUAAAGAACCAUUCUAGCUUACACCGUGACACUUAGGCCUUGUUUAGUUCCAAAUUUUUUUGCAAAAUCGACACUGUAGCACUUUCGUUUGUAUUUGACAAAUAUUGUCCAAUUAUGGACUAAUUAGACUCAAAAGAUUCGUUUCGUCAAUUUCGACCAAACUGUGUAAUUAGUUUUUAUUUUCGUCUAUAUUUAAUACUUCAUGCAUGCGUCUAAAGAUUCGAUGUGACGGGGAAUCUGAAAAAUUUUGCAAAAUUUUUUGGGAACUAAACAAGGCCUAUGCUGAGUUUCGUCUAUCAAAAGAUUAUAAGCUACCAAUAUUGGCAUACCCCUCAGCCAAAAUGCAUGCACAAGUUUAUUUAAAGUAACAACUUACAAAAUAUAUUGUCAUAGAGUUCUAAUAAUUUUAAAUGAAUUGGCAAAUGUCAAUGAUAUGUGAUUUGCAAAGUGACAACUUUUUAUACUAUUGAAGUUGGUAAGUUUUUAUAUAAAACAAAACAAAAAAAAUCCGUUGGCUCCACUGAAUUUUGCUCUAUGCAUGGGACCUAAGGCCAGUCUCGAUGCAUAGUUUCAUGACACAGUUACCAAGAUUAUAAACUAGGUAACCGAGCCACAUGAGUUUUAUGGGAAUGAAACUUCUCUCUCAUCCGAUGAAAUCUGUCAAGUCAGCAAUUUUUCAAGUCGGAGUUCCUCGCCCUGCGCUAGCGUGAUGGCGAUGGGACGAUGAUGUACAAACUGUUCGUAGACCCGUGCAAUAAUUGACAUCUGGUUGAUGCGUAGUGUAUGUGAAAGAACAGUGCACGAUGCAUGGUUCUGAACCACACGUCAAUGAUCUCGAUGAUCUCGACGUCGAUGCCACGCAGAGAUCUCGACCGGACGUCGACGCCCUGGUCACCAUGGCCACCACGAUGCUCGACGACUUGAAGGCUUGCAGCUUUGGGUCCAUGUCCAUCGUUCGCACAGUCGCACCCCACGACGCGUACUGGCUCGCUUCUCUAGUUCUCCAUGUGGUGAAUGCGCUUGCCGGGCCACACGGUACGUACUGUCCUGCUCAUCACUCACUGCCAUGGCCGCUCAGCUCACCGCCGACCGUGUGGCCACCAAAAAUUAUCAAGGAGCCCGCCAAGUUGGCGAAUGUUCAGAUGCUGGUAGCUGUAGAAACACUCCGACUGAUACGUAUUCUUCCAACAUCACUCUUUGACUAAUGUUUGGCCAAGUAUACUAGUAAGUGUACUAUGUAGUACUAAUGGCAACUCCGCUGGGUCUGGGUGCAUUCUAGAGCCAAUUUUGCUUUCAAUAUUUGGCUAACGAGAAAUAUGAAAAUAUCUGAAGAUCUAAUUAGAGAAGCUCUUGUAUAUACUUUGGUCAAAAUUUCUAUUUCUAUAUAUCAAUAAUUAAGGAAGGAUGUUUUUUUUUUGAGGAACAGUUAAGGAAGGAUGUAGAGAGCUGAAGUUGCACUAUGCAAGCACACAACCUACUCUCUAAUAUUAUCGGCCUUCUUGAGGCCCACGUAUUCCCUACCGAAUCAGCAGGCCCAAAGCCAAUUUCAAUAGGCUGUGUUAAAACCUUCCCUCAGCCGAUUUUAUUUUCCCGCUCCGAAAGAUAAGAGCAUUUGCUUUUUUUUUUUGAAACAAGGUCGGAAGGUCCUUUGCUUGUUGCUGAGGCAUAUAUGGUGCACCAUUGAUGUUGAUCACGCACACCUUUUCUUUGCGAAUGAUCACGCACACCUUAUCCAGGAUGAGUGGAGUCAUCAUCGAAAGGAGGCGUCAUCCACCAUUAAAUAUAAUAAUACUGACAUAAAAAUACAAGCACACAUCUUAAUCUAUCUAUAACUUUUAUAAAUUAAAAUCCCAUUAUCUAUCUAUAACUCUUAUAAAGCAAAACCCCACUAUCUAUUUCUCUUGAAAUGCAAGACGUCCACCUCAACCCUACAAUCUAUUUCUCUUAAAAUGCAAAGCAGUCCACUACAUUUGUCACUAUCAAUUUUAUCUUGACAUGCAAGGUGCCCACCUCAGCAAUCCUCACUAUCUAUUUCUCUUGACAUGCAAGAGGUCUACCUCAGCAGUUCACCAUUAACUCCACAAUCUAUUUCCCUUAAAAUGCAAAGCGUCCACCUCAACAGUUCACUAUCAUUUGUCACUAUCAAUUUCUCUUGACAUGCAAGGUGUCCACCUCAGCAAUCUACUAUUAUUUAUAUUAAAGUUUAUUAGCAUAAGAAUUAUGAUAUCCACAUCAACAAGACACAUCAUUUACUAUGGAUACAAUCUCCAUGAUUAUGCUAAUAAAAGAGUUAUAUAUUUAUAUACCUCCUUCGUACCCGCGGCAACGUGCGGGGAAUCCUUCUAGUUUCUCUUGAAGUAUAAAAUAUCUACCUCAGUAGUCCACUAUCAUUUAUCACUAGCAAUUUCUCUUGACAUGCAAGAUAUCCACCUCAGUAGUCCACAAUCAUUUGUACAAGAAUUAUGAUAUCCUCGUCAGCGAGACAUCAUCCAUUAUUUAUACAAUAUCCAUAAUCAUACUAAUAAAUCUAUACAUAUAUUAGACUGUCUCCAAUAACGGUUACCUAAAAUACAAGACUCAUUUCAAGUUUAGGUAGCGCUACAGGCAAAGGGCUCCAUACCCAUUUUUAGUCUUCUCCAACAACAAGACCCAAAAGAGAAUCCUUCAUGCAAAUGGGUCUCAAGGAGAGAGGAUACUCAUAUUUGGGUUAUAUCUCUCCUGAUACCAAAAAUAGGUCUUCCAUAUAGGUACUCUGUUGGAGGCUAUAGGUAUUGUGUUGGCGACCCAUUUUGGUUUUGGGUCUCGUGAUGAGUUACUUGUUGGAGACCGCCUUAUAUCAUGUUCUUGCAUUACCAACACCAUAAAUAUAGAUUCCUUCUUCAUAUUCGCGGCAAUGGGAAUCCUCCUAGUUUAAUAUAUACUCAAAUUGAAUGAACAAAAUUCAAUGAAUAGCUUAGCUCAAGAAUUUAAAUAUAUUGAGAAAAUUUCCUAUUUGACACUGAAUAAGAAUAUUGCCUUCUUAUCUUACACCCAAACUUAAAUCCUUUCCUAUCUAUUCUUGUCUUAAGUUUUUCUUUCCUAUUUGAUAUUUCCUUUAGUUUGGAGUUGGAAUGGUGGUAUUAAGCGGAGAAAAGACUAUUUUACCCUGACAACCCCAGGUGGACAUUGCUAUCUUUUUUUGAACAUACUGUUAUGUUUUCAUCUUGCUUAUUUCCUAUCAAUUUGCACCUUUUCGCCUUGCCUACGUGACUAGAAUGUCUAUUCUUUCUUUUUUUUUCUUUCUUUCCUUCUUUUUUAAAACUAAUGAGUAUGUCCAUUCCUUUAGGUUCAUUCCUAGCCCGCUCAGUUCAAGAAUGAAAGUAGUAUUAGUCAAAUCAUUAAUUUUUUUUAUUUACUCGGAGAUAGCAAGAUACAAUACGUACACUCGCACACUCGGAAUUACAAUGGUAAUACUAAAAGAAACACAAGGAAAAAUGGAAAAGGAAAAAAUUCACUAGGUUUAAUUACAGAGGAGAAAUCAAUCAAUAACCAUGCACACAGAUGAAGUAGUGUUUUGGAAAGAACCGUCUUUGAGGGGGAAAACCUUCGAAUACGGAACACCAGCAAGAGUAGCAAUGUCGAGCUUGCAAUUGACCCCUGCCACUAAUCCUCCGCCCACAACGGGGUCUCUUGACCUGAUCUCAAUGGCUACAAGUGCAAAAAUCACAAAUACAGAGGCACGUAAUACGUCAGUAACCAAAACACAAAACCUCAAUCGACGACAAACUAAGAGGCGAGAUUCUAGAGCAGGACCUGGUAGACAUUUGGUAGCUUGGUGGUCUCUAGCACAUCGUCCUUGUCUCUGCUGCUGCUGGUGCCACAGCCACCCUAGCCGGUUACGCGUUAGAUGAGGUCGAGAAACUUGUCCAUGAGCUGAGCGACGAAGCUAGCCAUCAAGCAUACAUACAUGUAUGUGUAGCUUCUAUUCUUGUCUGGCUACCUACGAGAUUACCAAUGGAGAUGAAGCUGUAGUGCCUAGCAAGAACAUUGUGACCCUCCGCUAAUGCAUAGGAACAGAGGACUUCAAGAGGUACUACCCCGAUGUGUCUCUCACCCCUCUUCCGUUUCAGAUCGAGUUUCAUUCUUAUCCUUCUUAAUGCAUCUUUCAUUUUUGUUUUGCUCCUUUUUAUUUUUUACUCAAAGAUUUUUUUGUGAAUAUUUUUUCCCGAAUGAGAAUUUCCCACAAAAUGAGUACAACAGUGCUCCUACUAUACCAUAUCAAGCCAACAUCCUAGCUGCUGAGAGAGUGAGAGACAGAUAUCGACACCCCAAGACGUACGAUCCCAGCGUGCAUGGUGGACCCUUAAUCUGAUGUUUCUAGAGAUAAAAAAAGUUAUGGAGGCCUAAAGACUUGAGUUGGAGAGAUUUGAGUUUAGCAGAACAUUGGAGACAUCAUCAGCUUCUUUAGAUGUGGGUUUUGUUGGUUUAUUCAUAUACUUAUGUAUGGUUGAUAAUACAACAUAAAGGUUACACAUGUAGUCAUUGCACUAGUUUAUUCAAAUACUUGUAGAUGACAGAUGGUGUUUUGGAUAGUGUUUGCUUUUGAGUUUGAGGGCACAACUUUCAAAUUUUUAGAUUUGUGAAGAAAUUUAAUGCGACAUAAUCCUUACACCUAUUUUGAUCCACCGACAUAUAAGUUUUGUUAGUAUGUAUUUGCAUUUUUUACUAUGGUCAAUGCUAGUUAGUGGUCUUGAUUAAUGCAACACAGUCUUUGAUUUUAUAUAAUAAGUAUAGAAGUAAAAUUUCUUGUUGGGAAAAUGGUUCCUGAACGGCUUUAGUAUAGGAGAGUAGAGAGAGACGACUAGGGUUUUUUGACUAGUGUUGGAAGGGGUGCCCCCUUGCCCUUAUGAUCAUGGCAUUAUAUAGGCAAGCAGAAAUUUUUAAGCGACUCCUCAGUGGGGGUGGAUUUUACAUGCCACUCUAAUGGCUCUAGUAGGACCUCUUCUAGGAGACUUGGCCCAUUUGAAUAGGACAUGUCCCAAUAGUUAGCCCCUCAUCUACUAUGUUAUGUGUGGUACUACAUGACCUAGUAGAUGCUAACACUAGAAGAGGCACAAUACAACUCAAACCUUGGUUGCGAGGAUUGCCCUUCACGAACCACACAUACACGCCUCACUAAAAACUCCAUCCCCAAAAACCCUGUGGGAAAAAAAGGGCAUGGAUAAAAGAGCAUGUGCAUGACUCUAACCAAUACGUGUUCUAAGUCCUGAGCCAUCUACCCUGGAGUGCCUCGUUCUUGCAGAUGUCUUCACCUUUAGGCUUUGCCUUUUUACGCACUUCUAUGGCAUGGUUCAUUAGCUUUUCUUGGUGCAUAGGCCUUUAUCCUCAAUUCCUUCUCCUCCAAUAUCUUCUCAAUGUGAAGUUCUUCAACACUGAAGUCUUCUUGGCACAAAGUUCUUUAUCUUUGAGCUUCUCGGUGUGGAGGUCUUCAUCUUCAAGGCCUACUCAGUGUGGAGGUCUUCAUCUUCAAGCCUCCUUGUCAUGGAGGUCUUCUCUUGAGUCUUCUCAAUGAGAGAGUCAUUGUCCUCAAGGCCUUCUCGUGAGCACCGGACAAAGAGUCUUCAUGUCCGAAGUUGUUGGUCCUCUGAUAGCUCUCCCAGCUCUCUUGGUCGUUCUCAUGACGAAGUUGUGGUUGAUGUAAUAGUAGUAGUGGAAGUAGAUGUUCGUUGAUGUAGACGUUGAGUAAUAUGAAGGCCCAAUGAACAAGGUCCAUCGCUGAAGGUGUUGUAGAGCUUGGUGGUGAAGGAGUUGGUGUAGCCCCUCAAGCUUAGCGACGGGACAAGGUGCCAUCAAUGUUGAUGUCGAAGGAGUUGAAGGCUCUUGAACCAUUGUAGUAGUCGAGGAUGAUGGUGAAGCCCCUCUUGUUGAAGACUCUCUUGCAAAGGUGCUUGGUGGAGUAGUUAUUGGUAUGGACGACGAAGGUGUCGGUGGAGCCCCUCGUGCUGGUGUAUCAACAGAGGUGAGGCAUCCUGGUUUGCCACGACUAUAGGCGAAGACCCUCCUGCAUAGGUGUUCGGUGGAGGCGAGGUUGGUGAAGUCACUAAAAGUGAUGGCGAAGGCCCUCAUACAAAGUUGUUUGGUGAUGGCCCUCCUAAAAAAGUUUUUUCAGUGGAGACGAUAUUGAUGAAGUCACUAAAGAUGGUGGCGAAGCCCCUCAUGUGAAGGUCUUGGAGAAGGCGAUGGUGAUGUAGACACUGACGCCAUUUGCUGAAGGCUAGAGAAGUCGCGUGAAAAUGCACCUGAGUUGAUCUCCUGUAUUUUUUAGGGACUUAGGUUGGACGUUACAGCUCCAUCGAAUAUCGACUUGUUUGACAGUCUUUCGACACUUAGAAAGGCACUGACUUUCUACUUACUGCAAAAAAUUAUUAGUCAUUUAUAUGAUAUGUGAGGGUAGCACGAAAGCCUUAGCUUCGUGACCUGGUGCCUGUGUAGAUUCAAGGUUUCUUUCAGGAUUUUGAUGCAUAGAGUCCUGGUGCCCAUGUUUUUUGGGAAAUUCUUCUAGGUGGCCUGGGCAUGUAUCAUUACUUUUUAUUUACUCGGAGAUAGCAAGAUACAACACGUACACUCGUACACUAGGAAUUACAAUGAUAACACUAAAAGAAACAAAAAAGGGAAAAGUAAAAAAAUUCACCAGGUUUAAUUAUAAAGGAAAAAUCAAUCAAUAACACUACACACUGCACCAGCAUUAACCUUGGAAUACUAAACACCAGCAAGUGUAGCAAUCUCGAGCUUGUUUGGCAGUAUGAAACAAUUGGCCCCUGCCGCUGAUCCUUCGUCCACAACGGGGUCUCUCGACCUGAUCUCAACGGGCUGCAAGUGCAAAAUUCACAAAUACACAGGGGACACAUAAUAAGUUAGUAACCUAAACAAAACCUCAAUCGACGACAAACUGGAAGGCGAGAUUCUAGAGCAGGACCUGCUGGACACUUGACAACUUAGGUCUCUGGAACAUCGUCCUUGUCUCUGCCGACACCGAUGCCACAACCAUCCUAGCUGGUUACGCGGUAGACGAGGCCGAGGAACUUGUCCUUGAGUUGUUCGACGAAGCUAGCCAUCAAGUGUACAGUGCGUGACGGCUACCUGAGCUCACUCAGUUGCCUUGCUCACUGUGGCUUAGCUCGGAGAGUGCGAAUGCCAUAGGCGAUCGCCGGGGCGCGCCAUUUAUGCUUGGCGUGGCAGCUCACCAAACACGUUAACUUUGCUGGACGAGGGGCCAUGACAGAGCAGAGUAUACUCAUUGAUCGAGCAACCGCGCUGCGUCCUCCAUUCCAUGGCAUGAUUACUCUCAGUCUCUCACGACCACGGGGGUUGGCCGCACCGGCACUACAUCUUAUUUUAGUUUCCAUUUUUGCAAAAGGAGCACGUACUGUACGUGCUAUAUUCGUAACUGUGACCUGAACCAUUGUAUUGAUCACAUUGUUCAUCAGGUUAGCACGUGUUGGAGCCCGCCAAAGAUGCAUUGUGUUUUCUUUCGGUAUCUUUUUUUUUCUCCUCUGCAUUCAUUUGGAGACCAAACUAUUAACUUUUCAUAGUUUUUGUUAACAUUCUUACCUUUUAGCAAUUGUGCUUUACAUGGAACCUAUAUUUAGGCCGUGUUUCAAUCCGUACACGUUAGGGUUGGAUUUAGGUGAAAUUUAGUUCAAAUUCUACUCCAACACAUAUAGAUUGAAGCGAAUUUGAUUACAUCCACACAAGGCCUUAAGCGUUUUCUUUCCAACUCGAAUGAUAAUCAAAAUCUUUAUUUUUUUAAAUUUACUUAUUAUUUUUAUUUUUUUAAUCUUUCUAAAUCAAAACUAUGCAUCUUGACAUAAUGUAUAUUUAGGUGUUUUGCAAAAGCAAUAUACCUAGAAGCUAAACUGACUUAUCAUUUUGGAAUGAUGGAGUAUCAAUUAAUUGUAUUAGGCAUGAAUUCUGUUUAUUAAUCUAAGCCUUUUUUUGACAAAAAAUCUAAGUCUUUAAAUUAUCAUAAUUCUAUGUUGUAGAUCUUUUCCAUUUCUUGUUUUAUCUACAGACAUAACCUCUUAGAUUUAAUCUAAAUCCAUUAAAUUAUCAUAAAAUUCAAUGAUGUUGGUUUUGUAUCUUCUUUCCCGACUAAUCUCAUAGUUAUAUUAGGCAUAUAUAUUUUUUUGUUUAAUCUAAGCUAUUAUACCAUCAUAAAUCCAACAAUGUAGAUUUUUUUUAUUUUCAUUAAUCUCAUAAUUGCAUCGGGCAUGGCAAUUUAAUUACCUCUAAGCUAUUAGACGUAAAAUCCAAUGCUAUAUUUUUUUCUAACUAAUCUUAUAAUUUCUAGUCUCUCUUGUGGUGGCGUCUAUUGUUUGCUACAUAGUAAAUACCACUACCCACAACAGACACAAAGCUACUCCCUCCUUUUUCUUGUGUGCACACAUAUCAAGAGUUAAACUUUUAAAAUUUUGACCAAUAAUUUAGCUAACAAUUUUAAUUAUGAUACUAUAAACUUGAUAUGGUUAGAUUGGUAAUUAAAUGUACUAUCAAAUUGUUAUGAAUUUAUAAAUAUAAAUAAUAUAUUAUAAAUAAAUAAAUGGUAAAAGUGUAGGUUAAGAGAUUGUGUCAUGUCUACUUAGGCCUUAUAUAUAGGGGUUGUUUAGAGCAACUCCAACAGAUAUGUUAUCUAUGUUAUCUAGGCUACUUUUACAAUUUUUAAAGCAAAAAAUAAAGUCCAACAAGUGUGCUAUCUGGUUUGCUAAAAUAGCAAGUUUACUAUUUCUAAAUUUUCGCUUGUCAUAUAUAGCAUGUCAUUCUCACUAGCUAUCAUAUACAAGGCUGUUGUAGAACUCUAUGCUUUGAGUGAGUUUUUUAUUUUACACAAUGGCUAAAUCUUAUAGUUUAGAAUAUAAUUUUACCUAGUCUCUUGGAGAUGCUCUUAGUUCCCAUUUCACCCCAAAAAAUUAUGGGUUUUGGUCCAUCAUUUUAAAUAAUAGAACAAACACCAUACAAAAUUUUUGGCAAAAUGAUUGUCAUUCUCUAUUUUGGAUUUUGGCUUUAAGAGGCUAAAGAAAAACCCAAAAGAGCCUCAAGAGGCUAUAAUGAAGACAAUAAAUUCUGGAUUUUGAAUAGAACUAAACGUAACCCUAAAAAUUUUGGUAUUUUUCAUUUCAUCAUUUCAAAGUAGUUAGUAUUUUAUAUUUCAUGAGAAACUAAACAGGCCAUAAAAGAGAAUGAAUGUAGUAAUUAGCUAAGGGACUCCAUUUCACCUUGAAUAUAGUUAUUGUGGUAAAUAAUAAUUGAUAAUACUUUAUUAUAACGGAGUAGCAUCUCAUUAUUUUACCAACAGAGUUAAUUUACAUCACCACCAACAACAAAAAGUAAUGACGAUGGCAUUGUCAAGAAACAAAUUUACCUAUCGAUUUUUCAUUCAAAUGAUAACAGAUCUUACCUUCACAAAAAGGAUGCACUCUAGACCUGUAGGCUAGUAGACUUUAAAUAGGCUAUUUUUUGAACAACAAAAGUGUUCGCUAGAGCUCAGAACAAAAUUUCACACAACACUUUCGACUUUUUCUUAUCUGCAUUUUCAGAUUUGUAGCUGUAGGGUGAACAAAGACGUGUUUGAAAAUUUUCAUAAUCAAACCAAUACUCCCUCUGUUCUAAAAAAAAUCCUCACUUUUUGAAUGUUCAAACAGUUUCAAGUUUGACUAUAUUUAUAUAAAAAAUAUAAACAUUAAUAGAACCAAACAAAGUAUCACUAAAUUAGUUAUAAAAUGUAUUUUUAUAAAUAUAUUUAAAGACAUAAAUAUUGAUAUUGUUUUUAAAAAUUAGUUUGAAUUUAAGAAAGUUUAACUUACUUGUUAAAUCGUACGACGACGUACAGUAAAAAAAAACAAGCGCUUCGAAGAAGGACCGAUGGCCAUGGCAUAUAUACGGCUUUCUCUGACAUGUGGCCCAGCCCAACCGACCGGGUUCCUCACUCGCCUCGCACGCACACGGCACCACCUGUCUGCAUCCUUACCAAUCCCCCGUCGCAGUCACAAACCCCCAAAUUCCAAAACCCUCGCCGGCGGCGACAACGGCCAUGGAAAUCCGUGUUCCGCCCGUCCCCAUGGACCGUCCUACUGUGGCCCUGUGGCGGGACCGGGGCAUGAACCCGCAGGUUCUGGAAGACGACACGCGCACCGCGCUCUCCCUCGUCCACUACGUCCUCCCCGAGCAGGCCGUCUCCCACCACGCCACCCUCUCCGCGCUCCCCGCCCCCGACGGCGCCGACCGCAUCAGCGGCCUUCCGGACGCGCUCCUCCGCGACAUCGUCUCCCGCCUCCCCAUCAAGGACGCCGCGCGCACCACCGCGCUCUCCUGCCGCUGGCGAGGCGUCUGGCACUCGACUCCGCUCAUCCUCGUCGACGCCCACCUCUUCCCUCCCGGAGGCGACGCCGCUCCGCUCCAGGUCGCGCGCUCCGACGGGCGGGGCGUCGCCUCCGCCGUCUCCCGCGUCCUCGCCGCGCACCCGGGGCCCUUCCGCCACAUCCACCUCACCAGCAGCCACAUGGAGGCGUUCCCGGGCCUGCUCGCGCGCUGGCUCCAGACCCUCGCCGUCAAGGGAGUCCGAGAACUCGUCCUCGUCAACCGCCCGUGGCCGCUCAACAUGGACCUCCCUGCCACGUUCUUCGGCAUGGCGACGCUCACCCGCCUCUACCUUGGCCUCUGGAAGUUCCCUGACACGGCCGACCUACCGCGCGCCGUGGCGUUCCCGCACCUAGCUGAACUCGGCCUCUCCUGUAUGGGCAUUGAGAACCAGGACAUGGACUUCGUCCUUGCCAAGAGCCCCGUGCUGAGGUCCCUAUGCAUCCAAGCUAAUAUUUUGCUGAGGCGCCUCUGUCUGGUCAGCCGCAGCCUCCGGUGCGUGCAGAUCAUCGAGAGCAUGGAGCUAGAAAUAGCCGUGGAGAACGCGCCGCAGCUCGAGAGACUCAUCAUCUGGUCAUCAUCGGCUCGUGACGGCUUGCCAAGGAGGGUCAAGAUUGGCCAUGCCCCUGCGUUAAGGACAUUUGGCUAUUUGGACCCGAAAUGGCACGUGCUACAAAUCGGCAACACAGUCAUCAAGGUGCAUCCAGCACUAUGAAGUUCCCAAUCGUCAAAUUUAAUGUCAGUUGUGAACCUGACUCACCAAAUUUGCUUCACUGCAGGCUGGGACAGGGGCCAGUCCGAACACCAUGGUGCCAAGUGUCAAGACCCUCAGCUUAAGGAUGUGCUUUUCAGUCCGCAACAAUGCCAAGAUGUUGCCGAGCUUCCUCAGAUGUUUUCCGAACCUUGACAGGUUGCAUCUUGAGGUGAAAACCCCUCACUUAAUUCCGCAUUAAUUAAUUUCUAUUUUUUUUCACACUGUCAUCAUCGAAUAAAUAUUGCUUCCCUAUCUGUCUAGAGCUGAAGUUUGUGCUGUUUGAACCAAUUUACAGUCCAGCAAAACUGAUGAGCCCACUGGCAAGCUCAACUUCAAGUUCUGGCAGGAAGCUGGUGCCAUCGAAUGUGUCCAGUCGCACAUUAAGCUGAUGAUCUUCCGUAACUUCCGAGGGGAGCGUGCCGAGCUGUCCUUCCUCAAGUUCUUCCUGGAAACUGCACGGGUACUCAUAAAUUUGGUGAUUGUGUUUGGCAAAGGAAGUUUCACAUCAAUGACGGAGGCGCGCUCCAAAGUGGAACCUUUGUUCGCUGCAAAAUGGGCCAGUGAAAGCUGCUCAGUGCAGCUCGUUGAGAGUGCAUUGAAAGAAGGAGAAGAUAAGUGGUUUCUGAACUUCAGAAGAGGAUCUGAUUUUUCUGUGAGGGACCCGUUUGCUUUCAUCUACCAGGAUUGAAUUAGUGCUCCGUGCAUUAUCUACAAGGAAGGCACUGUUUUGGGUCGUUGACUUGUGUGUCUGUGUGUGUUUUGAGACUCAGCAGGGUUCUUGGGUUCUGUACUUCUGUUUACAUGAUUACAAGUAUGGCUCUCGUCUCUUUUUCUUUUGCUCUGGUCUGAUGUGGAUCAUGCUACCAGCACCACACAAAAUUUCGGCCAAAUGAUUCACUAGAUAUUGGUGAGAAGCAGAUAUAUCAUCCUUCUCACGCUUUGCUUACUGUCCUGCACUUUCCUUGGUAUGCUCCACGGAAUAUUUGUUCCACCAUGAUUUCGAUUUUCCAUCCUGGCUGAUUAUGCAAAUUUAGAAGGUCAAUUAUCAUCAAGGCUCUGUGUGGUCUUUAUCGUUUCUGCUAGAGUAGUUUUUUUACAUGUGGCAGCACUGCUUACUGCUUUUGAUUUUCCAACUUUGUCUAUGUGCAGUUAUUUUGUGCAAUGCAGGUUGAUUAAUUUGGCCAUGAAUUCCCUAUAGCCAGGCAUUGAACCAAGUGAAGUGAACAUGAAUUUGUAUGCCAAACUUUUCUUUUUCUGGUGUAGAUGUUAGGAGCCCAUGCUUGUCUAGUAGAACCUAUAGGAAGGGGUUACCAUUGCAUCAACGCAGUGGUUUUUACAACUAGGAAGAGCACUCCUGAAGCAGGGUGAGUUUUUUGUUGAAGGACGAAAACAGAAAAGGUAGCAACUAACACGCCGCAGGAAAUGUUGAGGUUUGAUAGAAAAUAGGGUAUCAAUAUGUUCUGCUUUCAUUUAAACAAAAGAAGAAUGCUUCCAGAUGUGCCUAACCAUGAUUGCAGGACAUAGAUGAACCUUUAUAUAAGACAACUGUUUUAUGAUUAUCAAGUCAUACAAGAAACAGCUACUUGAAUUUGUAUUUUGUCUGUUAGUACGUGAUUUAAAGCUGAUUCUGACACAUUUUAAACCACCCAUUUUUCAUUCUCGAUGGUACCUAGUGCACAUAGACUCUUCUUUGCAGUUAAGUCCCAAAAAAAAUGGACUCUUCUUUGCAGCAUCGUAUCGCAUACAUUAGCUACGAGUCUGAGUUUUUGCUAGGAAGGUUGUUUUCUGUUGUCAUCUUUUGUUUGCAGCAUAUAUUAGCUAUGAGUUUUUGUUUGCAGCAUCGGAUCGCAUACAGAAACAAUACAAACUUUAUGUAUGUUUGAAGGCAGACGAUUACUAUUAAGUAUAUGUUUUAUUUGAUGCCCUGUCUUGCUUCAUGGUCUCGCAUUCCAAGUCUUCUUAUUCCUGCUUCACGGUAUGAACUAUGCUGUAGCAGGCUAGCAGUAGCAGCAAACUGUUUGUGCUUUACUUCCAAGCUUCAUAUCACUGCAUUUUGUAGCUCUUGAACAGUUGAACAUGUGGACAAAAACUGAUGCUUCGCAUAUAACCUCAGCUUUUUUACUUGAAUUUUCGGUGCUUUACUUCCUCACUAGUGCAUUGCGCGCGCAUCUGCGCGCGUCGUGAAUCAGCUGGCGAAAAUGCAGAAGAGGUGUUUAAUAUAGAUAUCUCAUACAAAGAAACCAAAAUACUUUAGUUCUUUUAAAAUGGGCCAUAGCAUAUCAUUGUGCAUAUUCAGUAUACAUCAAAAGGAGCAUGGGUAUAUAUAUUUAGAGCGAUUACAUAAGUUUAGCACUGAAUAGAUACGGCAUACAAUGGAAGGCCAAGAAUUUGCUUUGUGGAACUAUAACACUUGUUGGAUAAGGACCGUGGCAAGGCACAUGCUGCAAACGCAGAAGCUAAUUUUGAGCCCUGAAAGUAUGUGGAUAAUAGGAUCAUAAGAAUAUAGUUGCUAUCUCAGAAGCAUGGAAGUAAACAGAGGGGUAAGCAUGUAAAGCAUUGAGAAUAAGGCUGGGAACAUUAGAACCAAACCAAAGUAAUACGUGAUUAUAAAAGCACAAAUGGGUGAUAAUAUAUGGACGUAUGCAAUUAGCUCAUGAAAACAUAUGAAUAGAGCGCAGCAGCGAUGGGACAGCCGAGGAGCCCCCGCGGCUGGUGCCCCCGCCGGCGGGCCUCUGCCAUUGCCGCCUCCUAAUCUCCUCCUUCCUCCUUCCUCGUCGAUUCUUGGGUAAGACCUUCUUCCUCGCCUGCUUGGUUUCUCCCGUUCUCGAUGGAUCUUCCGGGGUUGUCUUUCGUCUGGGGACUCAAGGUUCAGGCUGCAGUCCUGGCAACUCUCAAUCUGCCAAUCUCCAAUCCAGCUCUGGGCAGAGACUCGUUCUUCCUGGUUGCUUCUUUUGGCAGAUGCAAGUUUAAACUUUGCUGUGAGUCAGUGGGUGUCAUUCUGCAAGCUACUCUUGGGGGUCUUGCAUCAGAUUUCAGAGUUUCUCAGUUGGGAGACAGAGUUUUCCGCUUUGUGGUUUCCACGAGAGCUGUGGGUUUCUAUGUCCGAGAUCUUCAGAGCUUUGAGUGCAAACUUUACAAAGUUUCCUUUCAUCUCUGGGGGAAUGGUGGCCCUAACUGGAAGAGAGAGUUCAGUUUGUUCUCAAGAGAAGAAGAAAGUUCCUGGGAGCACGUUAUCCCGACCACAAAAACAAGAAAAACCUUUGCUGAGAUAGUGAAAGGCCCUCCUCUUUCUGGCGCCAACUCGAUCCCAUUGGGACGAAGAUCAGUUUUCAGUAGACUCCGGUGGCCGGAGUUGGAAAAGACGAGAGCACCGCCGUUGCCAGCUUCCAAGGCCAAGGUCAGGGCCACCGCUCAGAGUUCAAACUCAAAUUCGAAUUUGAAUUCAGCCAGAAACACAAUCUUCUGCCCAAGAUGUUUGUCUCCUGACCACCAGAGGCACCGCUGCAAUCAGCCUAUCCGUUGUCGUGCCUGCAUGAAGACUGGUCACGUAGCAGCAUUCUGCAUGGCUGUGCCUGCUCGCCCGAGGAGACAGGAUCCUUCUCCCCCAGAUUUGGUUCUGAACAAGGAUCACUGGGCUCAAGGUUUCAAGGUGGCCGCCACAGGAAAAGGCCAGUUUAAUAAAGGAAAAGCUUUAGAGGUCGACAUAACGGCCUGGUUCCGACCUGCUAUUGGGCCGAAUUGCUCCAGCACAUCUCAACCAGGAUCUCUACAAGAUGUGCUCAGAAGCUGGAAUCCCGGGUGGGCUCCUGGGAAUCCGCCCAUCUCUGUUCCUUGGGUGCUCCCUGAUAAGCAAAGUGAGGUGGCCCUGGAAGCUGAAGAGGCGCACGACCCUAAGCGGUGGACGCUUUGCAUUAAUCAGUCGGUCGUCUACCCUCCUUCCUCCUCUGUUCCCGUGCAAGAACAACAGGAGCACCAGGAAAAUCAAGAAAACCCCAGCGCAAACAAACCUACACCAGCUCAAUCUGCGCCGCUUGCUUCACCAAUGGCCUUCCAACGCUCUGACCCUCGUCCUUUCAUCCCUCAGAAUCUGCAAUGGAUGGAAGUGGAGAACAGGGUGCCAGUUGUCAGGGCGGUGGUUUCCUCGAGGCCUCCGCUUAGGAAUGAAGACCUCGCGAUCGUCACCAUCGAUCAUCUGCCUGGUAAUGCCAUUCACUUUGAUGCUGUUGAAGAAGUUCUAGCUGAGUUCUUUCUUGAGCGGAGAAUACAUGUCAAGGAAAUCCAGCCUUCUACGCUGGGUCAAGCUCUGGUAAGAUUUCACCAUAGGAUUGAUAGAGACAAUCUGGUGAGCUUAGGUCCUAUUCCUUACCUAGAUGUGCACUUCACCUUUACGGAGCACAACAAAGGUAGGAACUGGCGUAGGGCCUACUUCAACACUGAGGUAUGGUUGAUGCUCAUGGAGUUCCCGGCUGAUUAUUGGGAAGAUGGAUACAUCCAGAAUGCUAUUUCAUCGUUUGGGAAACUUCUGCACUGGAGGAAUGAUAGGAGCAGGAUGGUAAGAUUGAUUCUCAAGGCCAGAGUCCUUGACCUACAGUCGGUCCCUCAGUUCAUCGUGCUAUCAGAUUCUCUGGGAUUAGAGAGUGACUCUUGGACAGUGCAAUGUGAGGUCCUUCAAAGCAGAUUGUUGGGUGAUGGACCACAGGAUGAGGAUCCUUUGCCAGUCGAACCUUUCCCAGUAGGGGCACCAUUUGACUUCUUUGGUCUCGGCCAACCUGGUAAUGGACCCUUUCAGAUCCAGGAAAAUGAGCAAGAGCAGAUUCAGAAUCAGCAACAAGUUGAACCACAAGCUCAAGAUGGGGAUAAUGCUGACAAUGCUGCCUGGGAACUCUGGCCUCAGCCUCAACAGCAACAAUUGCAGGUUCCUGUCCAAGUACCCAACCUGAAUCUGGAAGCAGAACAUGUGAUAAAUAUUGACCUGAAUCUACCUGGGGGGAGGAGGACCCAAUGGAGGUUAUUGUAAACCCAGCAAAUCAGCUAAAUCCUGCAGAAUUCAUGGAACUAAAUGAUUUAAUCAACAAUGAUAGUGAUGAAGAGGUUCAAAUUCAACAGAUACCACCUCAAGACCCUGGGCAAGAAAUUGAAGAAAUUCAGCAGAUGCCUCUGCAGGCUCUUGAGCAGCCACCUCCGCAAGUUCAUCUUCACCAGCCAGUGUUGAAUAACCAGCUGAACUUGAACCUGAUGGCUGAAGAACAACAUCUCAUGAAUAUUGCAGACUUAGAAAUGCAGGACUUCCAGAUUGACCCUGUAGAGCUGGAACAAAAUGAGGAACUUUUGGAAGUAAACGAGCUGGCUCCUGAGCUCCAUAUCCCUAAUGAAAAUAUUUUUGAUAUGGAGGGACCAGCUCAACACAACUUACAAAUUGAACCAGUUGCUCUGCACCUUGCUGGGCCUCAUGUCAUUUUAGAAGCCCAUGAACCAGCUCAAAAUGAGUUGGGCCUUGGCCUUCCUGCAAACCUUGAGGCCCAUGAACAUGCACCUGCAGAAGAAAAUGAAAUACCUGAGGACCAGAUGGUUUAUCAAAAUCUCCAGGUUGGAAGGGCCCUGCUGUUUGGCCCAGAGGCUGAUCCUGUCUGGGCUCAAAGAAGCAGAACUGCUGAGGCAACCAGACUUUGGGCUAGAUUCUUUGCUCAAGGUAAUGCUAAUCACCUACAUUUAGCUGUUCCUUCGGGAUGGGUUAAUUUUUUCACUGCCAUGCUUCUAUCUCCAAGUCUGUUCAAUUGGGCAAAAGAUUUUCUAUCCUCAAAAGCUGCAGAUUGUCUGAGGGUUGGUGAUGGGGUUGUGGACUUUCAUGUGCCUCAACAGUGUCCUCAAUACACUGCUUGUGUUGCAGCACCCAAGACUAAGUUAAGCUCACUGGAAGAAGAUGAGGAAGUGGGAAAACGGCUUCAGGAGCCCAAGUCCACUCCCAAGAAAAGGGGACCCAAGAGGACCUGCCCAGUUGUGGAAACAGAGCUCAGAAGGAACAGCAGAGGAAAGCAGGUGAACAAUGGAACCAGAAGAGGCAUCUGUUCUGAUAAAAAGUGUUUCUUCUGCCUCCCUAAUCCUCCUACCUUGUCCAAGCAGGUAAUCAAGAGACUUGGAAAGGAGCUUGGUGAACUGGAAGAUGAACAAUUGACUGAUGAAGCCCUGCUAAAAAAGAAGGAACAAAAGAAGAUAGGGCAGAAAAAGAAGAUGGAAGAAGGGGAGGAGGAGCCAAGAAAGAAAGGCAAUGGAGAUGAAGGACCAAAGAACCCAAAGAAGAAGAACGGUGACAAGAGUAACUGAGUACUUGAGGGUGCCUAGAAGUAGUGGGAACCCCCUAUUUUGUCUAGUCUUCUACUUCCCUCGACGGUUUAUGGAGGGGGAAAACAUAAGAACUUGUAUUUUGAAGUGCAACUCUAGUUGUUUGGUUGUCUCUUUGAUCUCCUUGUCUCUGGACAAGACAAACUCAGACUCACAGAUGUUGCUGGAUAAUUUGCGGUUUGUGUUUUCCUCUUACCUACUGUGUGGGUGCUUUGAUGCUGAGUUUGUAGAGCUUCUGAAUGAUAAUUCUGUUGGAUCUCAUAUAUCACAAACCUGUGAGCAAGUGAUAAAGGUUGAUACUUGUUCGGGCUGUAGAACAAAAGAGGCAAUCUUUCUGACGCCUAGCCUAAAAACUAACCUCUCAUGUGACAAAUGAAUCACAAUCACAAUAGGAAUUGGAAGAUCUUGAGCUGGAAUGUUAGGGGCAUAAAUUCUAGAGAUAAAUGGAAUAUAAUCAGGGACAGGAUUGUGGAAUCUGAGUGUGACAUUCUGUCUUCAGGAGACUAAGAAAGAUGAGUUUGACCAGUCCUUUCUCAGAAAUAUUUGCCCACCCAGUUUCGAUAGCUUUGAAUUUCUCCCAUCAGUAGGCGCCUCAGGGGGGAUAAUUACAAUAUGGAAAGGAAGAUUAUUCAGUGGGGAAAUGAUUUUAAUAAUGAGUUUGCCAUCUCUGUGGAAAUUAACUCUAAAAUGAGUGAUGACAGUUGGAUCUUAACUAAUGUCUAUGGCCCGCGUACACCAGAAGGAAAGCAGAAUUUCACUGACUGGCUCAGGCAGAUUCAAAUGCCUGAGGACAGGGAAUGGAUAGUCUUGGGUGAUUUCAAUUUGAUCAGGAAGCCGGAGGACAGAAAUAGGGGAGAAGGAAACAUGGCUGAAAUGUUCAUGUUUAAUGAUACCAUCAGUCACCUGGGAAUCAAUGAAAUAACACUACAGGGAAGAAAAUACACAUGGUCCAACAUGCAGCCGAACCCUCUCUUAGAAAAGCUUGAUUGGAUCUUCACUUCAAAUGCCUGGACUCUAAAGUAUCCUGAUACAUCUGCAAAAGCUCUGAACAGAAGCCCCUCUGAUCAUUGCCCAUGUUUGGUCCAGAUAUCUACUCAAAUCCCGAAGCCCAAAGCCUUCAGAUUCGAGAACUAUUGGCUUCAAAUGCAGAACUUUCAAGAAAUCUUGAGCAGCAGCUGGAACAGUCCCCUAGCACAGUUGGACCCUGCCAGGACACUUACUGCUAAAUAUAAACGAUUGAGGAAAACUCUGAAGGAGAAACAAGCCUCCCUGUCCAAUCUAAAGACUGUUAUCCAAAAUGUGAAAAAUAUCAUACAGUUCUUGGAUGUCAUUGAAGAAUACAGAGAUCUUAGUCUGCCAGAGUGGAACUUUAGAUCUUCACUGAAGGAGAAAUUAUUUAUGCUUUUGGAUCAGCAGAAAACCUAUUGGAAACAAAGAGGCAACAUUAAAUGGGUGAAGCUAGGGGAUGCAACAACAAAAUUCUUUCAUGCAAAUGCCACAAUAAGAAUGAGAGGAAAUCUUAUCAGACAUUUGGAAAGGGAGGAUGGCUACCUUGCAAGCACACACAGAGAGAAGGAGGAGAUGUUAUGGAAGGAGUACAAGGAAAGACUAGGCAAAUCAGAGUUUGACAGGUUUGGAUUUGAGUUAGAAUAUCUGCUACAAACUAGGGAUGACCUUUCUUGUCUGGAGCUGCCUCUCAGUAAUCAUGAGAUAGAGGCAGUCAUCAAGUACCUCCCUAAUGACAAAUCCCCAGGACCCGAUGGAUUCACUAAUGAGUUCCUAAAAGCCUCAUGGGGAACUGUAAAAGAAGAUUUACUUAAAUUUUGUGACUCCUUCUUUAGUAAUGAAGUCUGCCUGAGAAGCAUCAAUACCUCUUUCAUUACCCUUGUCCCAAAAGUGCAUGAUCCCAGAACUGUCACAGACUUCAGGCCCAUAUCACUGCUAAAUUCCUCCCUCAAGCUAGUGACAAAGAUAAUGGCAAACAGGUUGCAGCCAGUGAUAACCAAACUUGUGCACAAAAAUCAAUAUGGGUUCAUCAAGCAUAGGACAAUUCAGGACUGUGUGGCCUGGGCCUUUGAAUAUCUCCACAUGUGCCAUCACUCAAAAAAAGAAAUAGUGGUCAUUAAGCUUGACUUUGAAAAAGCUUUUGACAAAAUGGAACACCAAGCAAUCAUCAACAUCCUGCAAGCUAAAGGUUUUGGAGAAAGGUGGAUUGGAUGGGUCAGAGCCCUGUUCACUUCUGCUACCUCCCAAGUUCUAUUGAACGGAUCCCCUGGAAAGACCAUUCAUUGUCUAAGAGGGGUCAGGCAGGGUGACCCUCUCUCCCCUCUACUCUUUGUGCUUGCAGCUGAUCUUCUUCAGUCUCUGAUUAACAAGGGAAAGGACUUGGGGCUCCUGUCAUUACCAAUACCUUUGCAAACGAAUCCUGACUUCCCAGUGGUCCAGUAUGCUGAUGAUACACUUAUAAUUCUAGAAGGUGACACAAGACAACUCCUGUUUUUAAAGUCAGUAAUCAACACCUUCUCAGAAGCAACAGGUCUCAAGGUCAAUCUGAAGAAAUCAAUGAUGCUGCCUAUCAACAUCAACGAUCAGAAGUUGGAUCAUCUGGCCAACACCUUUGGUUGUUCCAAAGGCUCCUUCCCUUUUACUUAUUUGGGCCUCACAAAGCCAGUGAUUCAGGACUACUUGCCUCUGAUAAAUAAGUGUGAAAAUAGGCUUGGAGGUGUAUCAGCCCUUCUUUCACAAGCUGGCAGACUGGAAAUAACAAAUGCUGUCAUGACGGCCCUCCCAACUUUUUACCUAUGUUCUCUUGAGAUCCCUGGGACAGUGAUUAAGCGAAUUGAUUCUUUUAGGAAGAACUGUCUUUGGAGAGGAAGCGAUGUGAAUGGGAGAAAACCACCUCAAGCAGCUUGGACCCUAGUUUGUCAACCCAAAGAACAGGGAGGCCUAGGAGUAAUUGAUCUGGGGAAACAAAACAAGGCACUCAUGAUGAAGAAUUGGGAUAAGUUCUUAAAUAAGAGGGAUAUACCCUGGGUACAAAUGAUUUGGGAAAAAUAUUACAGAAAUGAUAAACUUCCAGGGAGGACCAGAAAAGGCUCAUUUUGGUGGAGAGACAAUCUCAAACUACUACUGCAUCAGUACAAGGAAUUUGCUUCCAUAGCCCUUAGAAAUGGUGAAAGCACUCUAUUCUGGGAAGACAAGUGGAAUAAUCGGGAGCUCAAAGCCACAAUGCCAGAACUUUUCUCUUUUACAAAAAAACAAUAUAUUUCUGCCAAGAAAGUACUUGAAUGUAGUAAUUUAUCACAGCUGUUCCACCUGCCCUUAUCUGUUCAGGCAUAUCAGCAACUUCAGCAACUCUUAGUCAUUCUACAAAGAUUUCCUCAUACUCAAGAAAAGGAUGUCUGGAGCUAUACCUGGGGAGAGAGGUUCCACUCCAACAGAGCCUACAAACUUCUAAUGGGUCAUUCCCAGAUCCAUGAUUCCUAUAAGUGGCUAUGGAAAUCAAAAUGCCAACCAAAACACAAGGUGUUCUUUUGGCUACUGUUGAAAGAUAGACUGAACACAAGAAACAUACUAAGGAGGAAGAAUAUGGAGCUUGCAUCCUUUGACUGUGUCUUCUGUGUUAACAGUACGGAAGAAACUGCACAACACCUGUUCCUUCAGUGCCCCUUUGCCGGUCAAUGCUGGGACAAUAUCCAGAUUGAAGCACCUAUGAACACCAAUUUUCCUGAGGCUGUCUCCCAGAUCAAGGAUCAAAUACAAUCCAGUUUUUUCAUGGAAACAAUUAUCCUGAUGUCAUGGUCCAUCUGGAAAACAAGAAACAACCAGAUCUUCGAAGGAAUUCCACCGUCUAUAGGAUCAGCAAACUUCUUUUCAGGAAAGAACUGCUCUUGCUCACGCAUAGAGUCAAAGAUCAGCAUCUACAAGUUCUUGAAGCAUGGAUUCAGUCUCUUUCUUAGUUUUCUUCUUUUUGUUUCCUUCUUCUUUCUCCACCUUUUUACUCUUCUUCCUUUCUUUCUUUGUUCCCUAGUGUACCUGUAUCUGUGUACCCCCUUUUUCUCUAUGAAUAAACUUUCACUGUAGGGGCCAAAGCCCCUCCAGAUUUCUCAAAAAAAAAAACAUAUGAAUAGCAUUAGAGAACAUUCAUUUGGAAUCUAUAAAAACAGGGAAGUGCAACACCAUUUCCACUAAGGGCGAAUUUAAGUCAAUACUCCAACAAAUGAGUAAGGACAAAAAACAGAAUAAGCAAGGAAGAGGCGAACCUCAACAAUGGAUAGACAGAUCGGUUAGUAGGCACUACAGGCGAGCAAAAGAGCAGAGAAUCCAACAUAGUCACUGCACGGUAACCUAUUAAGUAACUGCAUGCACACAUAUUUGAGAGAAUGAUGGACGCAGCAGCAACUCCAUAUUACCGGUCGUCAUGAUGUUGUUAGCACUGAACCUGGCCCGCUAUUUUUGCCGCUAUAGCCCGAAAUAGCUUGAAAAAAAUUGUGCCGCUAUUUGUGUUCAUGCACAAUUUUGUCGCUAUUUUGCCGCUAAAGUACGCUAAUUAUGGUUUAUAAAACGCUAAACACCUUGGCCUUAGCUCGCUAUUUAAAACAUGGAUCCAUACAGAUACUAACAUUGUAGGCUUAAAUAAGAUAAACAACAAAUAAGCAGCAAACAGUGGACUAAAUAUAAAGAUUUCAGUCUUUUUCAGAAUUUUAAAAAUAGAAGUAGAACAAUGGACUUGCAGUUUGUGGGAAUACUGGAUAGAUAAUGGCAUGAUAAAAACAACAGCGUGGUAGGUUACAUGUGAAGGCCUUGUAAUUGCAGACUGAAAAGGAGAAAAUCCUCGGCUUAAUUUGAUUGUGUUGCUACCAAGCAUAGGACCUAUAUCAAAAAGAAACCAAAGCCUCCCAGGCAUCAUCCACUCAAAAUUAUCAAUCGUCACUUCCUGAGGAAGGUUUAGCAUGAUUACAUACCGGUGUAACUCCUUGGAGGUGAACCCUUACUGCAAAUAGGUUAGAAGUUUGAAAUUUUUGAAUGGUGUUAAUUGCUGGUCCCUGUAAAAUAGAUAAGGUAAUUAAUUAAGCCAUGACAUGUGUGAAACACACCGAUGCAAUAAUCAUAGCAUCCACCAUACUGCAUUAAAAAGUCACAAUACAAGGGCGCCAACAUAGUUAGUGAUGCCAGUAGCCAAAAAUAUGAACUAAUAAAAAGACAAGCAAGAAAUGGAGGUGGCAAUAAAACACGACAAUAUACUUUUUCAUGUAUGGGGACACAGAUCUUUAGAUAGUUCUAUCCUACCAGAUCUUCGAUGGGAAGUGCACCACGAGAAUUGUGCCAGAACUCAAAAGUUGGUUAAGCAAUCUCAAAUAAUCAUCAUCUAAACAAGGAGGACAGCCAUUUGGUAGUUCCUGGAGUUUCUGAAAUAUGCAUCCCUUAGCCUGUACACCACAUGGAUAGUUUAUCAUUACCGAUGACUGUGAAAUAUUUAAGGAAUUUAGGGCAUGCUUGGAACGUAACAAUGCAACAGAGAUUUCACAAGGAAGGUGGCAAUAAAACAUGCCAAUAUAUUUUUUCAUGCACGGCGAAUACAAUAUUUAGAUAGUUCAAUUUUACCUGGUCGUCAAUGAAAAACAGCAGCACAAGAACUGCGGCAGAACACAUGAUGCAGGUUAAGUAAUCUCAAACAGUGAUCAUCUAAACCAGGAGGGCAACCAGCCAACCAUGUUACAGCGUAUGGAGUUUCUUAAAAAUGGCUAACUUUACCUAUAUAGCACAGGGAUAGUCCCAUUACUUAAAUUUGUGAAAUCUUUAAGCAAUUUAGGACAUGUUUGUAAUGUAUUUGACAAGAAAUUCCAUGGGGUCAAUCUGAACCUAUAGUUCAAAUGGACUAAUCUCUCAACAACAGAAAGGAAAAACUUGGUCGGAACUAACAGAGAAUCAAUAGGUUCAGUAUUUAUUCUGGUGGCCUCACCCGCAUGCAGACAUCCAUGGUCUACUCCAAACUGCUUCCCUCAUAUUUCCAACUUCUUCAGCACACGAAGUUCAUAAGAACUAUCCAUGGAUUUCGAUACCAUCAGAGUUGAGAAGUCUUUCGAUUUCUUGCAUAUGUGAUCGAAACUGUGUUGUCUGUAGCACUUUUGCAUCCUACCUCUGCUGGUCCAGGAUCCGAUGAAGCCUGCAUAUGUAAGCAAGAUAAUGCACAUUUUAAGUAGCUAAUAAUAAAUUUUGAGAUUUCAAGUCAUGGAGCACAAAUGAAGCAGAGUGUAUUUAGUUAUAUACUGUUUGCACUCUGUAGCAGUGUCUUACAUACAUAUUCUUCUUCAGGCAGUAGAUCAAAGGUUGGGAGCUGCCUAUAAUUAUGAAAAUAGUACAUUACAAACCAAGGUUCAGGAAACAUGACUUGAGUAAAUAGACUAAGUACUUCUUUUGGAACAAAAAUGAUAGGAGCCCUGCCAUUGAUCUAAGAAAGAAAACAGUGUUCAAAACCCAUACUAUAGAUUCACUGAGGUGGACAUGGAAAAAUGAAGCGCUAAUACAUGGUUGUAUCUUGCAAGGUAGGGAGACUGGAGAAUUUACAAUCAAGGAGAGGGAACUGGGCUAUUGCUUAUGGCAGAAAUUGACCAAGAGAAAGGAGUGCGCAUAAUGUAGAUGAUAAAGCUACUCAUUCGUAGCUAUACGAAUCAAAGAAGGAAGCCAACAAUAGUUAUAGUUCAAAAAUUAGAGAAAGAAUCAAAUAAAAAUACAUUGAUAAUGAAUAAGGUCCAUGACUCCAUGUAAUAGAUCACUGAAACCUUUUGAGAGGCAUUCGCUACUUGACUGUCUUCAAAGAUAGUCAAACACAACUGGAUCGUGAGAACCGUUACCAAUUUCAAAAUAUGAUAAAAUGAUGGUUCUAGAAAUUAAGUCAUAGCUUAUUAUACAAAUUAACCAAACAAAGUUACGGACAUUGUACAUGCAUAGUUUACAUACUUUGUUUUUUUUCACGAAUGGGGGUUAAGCCCAUAUUUCAUUAAGACGAAAGAAGUUUUCUGACAAAUUUAAGAAGAAGCAGAGGCAAAUAUUUAUGUAAUAGUUUUAGUGAAGCACAACGCACAUUGUAAACCAUUUAGUAGCAACUUCUUUGCUAAGAAGGGAACCAACAGGAAUAAAACAUUGCAAUGUAGCUUCAUAACUGAUUGUCUCAAUAUCACAGUAGGCAUGCUUGCUGUAUAGAACUAAAUAAAAUAUUAUUUACUUUGGUAAAUAGUUUCACCACAAUAGGAAAUCAUGGCAACUUUUUUCCUGUUAGAAGUGAAGGACAUGAACAGGGAGCAUACCAUCAAUUCCAAAAGCCUAAAUCAUUCAGGUACCUGAGUACGAACAUAGGGACCUGAAAAGGGAACACUUUGAAUUUAGUCCACCACUGCGUGCAUGCUGCUGUUGGUACCCACAAUAAGCAAAGAAAUCUUACCAAGUACCAGCCAAGCAUCACAAUUGCUCCCAAAAAUAUCAACAAAAACAUUAAUUGGGCGAAGAUAAAAGCAAGUAGAGCACAAGCAAGCACAAGAUUCAUACCCGAAGAAAUCAAAGAAAUAGAUAAACAGAAAGUGAUUGCACACAACCAAAGUGUAUGCCAAUGUAAUCAUUGGGAUAGGGCAUGUGCUCAGAAGAAAUAGUAUGUCAUCACAGGCAAUGCUCAUACGUAACAAACAGGCAAAGCAAAAAAAUUAUCACAGGCAAUGGCAACACAACCUCAGAUCUCAUAACCAAGAGCAAAUUUCAGCCGCAUAGUAUGUGACAAAACAGAUGAGGCAGGAAUAGAUGCAAGAAAACAUAGACAACCAAUUGACCAUUGCCUCUGCUAUCAUGGGACAGCUAGAAAGAGUUGGCAAAAAUAGCACCAACACUGACCAUGGUGAUUGCCUAAGUUGUCGAUAUAGAAAAAAGAUGUAAGAGGAAGAGUGAUCUUAGGUCAUGAGCAUUGCCUCAGGCAUCUAAAGACAUCAAGAUGUAACCUAUGGAAAGGUACAUAAUGAUCAUUACAUGGAACACAAAUAAACCUAAUUUAUGGUGCAAUUAUCAUAGCAGUAGCCCAUUCCCUCAAUUGUAGAUCUAAAUCAUACUCAUCAUCACACAUGGCUAAAAUGCAAACAAUGAACCCAAAAACAUCAGUACUGCAGUGCAGAUAGUGUGAAACCAAUAUUAGUGCCAUGGUCAUGUGCUCAGAGUUCAGGACUUACAGUGGAAGCUGUAAAAAUUAAGCAUAGCUAGGAAGUAAACCCAAAGAAGCAUUAGAAAUCACAGGAGGAGGUAUUUGGUAACGAAAUCAGCUGAAUCAGCUGCAGCGUUUAUCAACCAGAGGAUAGCAAAUCAAAGUGCUGAAAACAUUUGAGGAGACGUGGCCAGGGGUUCUUUGGAGGAGCUGCACGGGUUUGUAGGGGAUAACAACAACAAUUAACAAUAACCAUGUGUAGAUUGGUGCGAGAAUAGAAUGAAAACACCACAUCUACGGUGAUAUCCCACAUCAGGAGAGAGGGGGAAGGAAAGGAGGGAGGAAGGGAAAGAGAGGAAGAGUAAACCAGCGAGUGGAUGGAUCGAGGGAGAGGAGAGCCGCGCUGCCUGUGUGCAGGAGCUCACGUGGAGGGAGGCAACCGUGGGCAACAACGGUGUCCGCCCAUGUCGCGCCGCCGCGCAGGACCCACACCACCCGCGUCACGCUCUGCGAGGAGCCAUGUCACAGGGCUAGGCCGCGUGGGGUGGAGGAGAAAGGAGGGGGUCGUGGGUCGUCGGUGCUGCAGCUGCCACCUGAUGAAGGGCCGAAACCCUAGGUUGGGUUUGUGCCGUCCCAGGACCGGAGAGGGCGUCACGAUGGUCGGCAGCGACGACGAAGGUGGGGAACGACGACGGCACUACCGAGCGCGGCCUCGGCGCGAUGCUGGAGACGGAAGAGUCGGGAAGGAGACGAGAAGUAUCGGGAAGGAGGGUGAGAAGCCAGGAAGCCAGACAUAUAUAUUUGACUGGGCAGCUACGCAGCGGAAGCUGUAAAGAUCAGCCAUAAGCAGGAACCAGCUCAUGACAAAAUCACCUGAAUCAGCUACAACCUUUGUGAACCACAGGAUAUAAGAAAUCAAAUGGCUGAAAACUUUUUAGGAGACGUGGCCGGUGGUUCCUUGGAGGAGCCGCACGGGUAUUCUAGGGGUUAACUAGAUCUAAUCGGUAUUUCUUGAAGUAACAUUUGGUCUGUACUUGCGUGUUCCAACAUAAUAUAUAAAUGGCCAGCAGGAUGUAUGAACAGAUCAUAAAUUUGGCAUAAGUACGAACAAACCCUGAACUGAAACUGUACUUUGCUAGAUUCUGCUUGACUGCUUUUGCGCGAGGGGUUUGGUAUAAUGGUAUCAGGUGGCUCAGCGGCGGAUAAAUUGCCGUAGAUACAGAUAACAGAUCCCUGCUCCAUGGUGGUAUUUAGCUGGAUUCAGCCAUGGGAAGCUACGACUCCAAAAAUAAUCACACACAAAGGUCAGCUGGUAUGCUGCUGGAAGAUUUUAAAGGAGAGAAAUAAACGUGUUUGAUGGGCACCCAAGCACAAUUUGCUCAUGGUCAUGCUAGUUGCGGGCCUGCGGCGUACGCAGGACCAGAGGCCCAUCCCUUCAAAAAAAAAGAAGGACCAGAGGCCCAGCCCAAAGGAGCUAAAAAAACCCGCUAUCCUAUCCUGUAUUCCUGUCUCUUCUGUCUGCUGUCUUCACCGCUCUCGUUCUCAAGUCAGUCGACCGGCCACAUCAGACCUGGAGGGCCACGGGUCACCGGCGGCUGGUCGCCCGGGGACGUGGCAGCACGCGAUCUCGAUCCUGGUGAGCACCUCCCCCCUCUGUCCUCUUCGUUCCCCCCGACCCCGAGCGCCACCUGGGCCGGCCGGCCGGCCGGCCAGAUCGGACGCAACUCUGCGGCACACGCAUGAGCACCACUCCUCCCCGCCUCUGGCGCUCUUCUUUUCCCUCCCAAUCUCUAAUCCCUCUUCCAGUUUGCGUGCUGCAGUACCGGCACCUCGGUCAUCUCCUCCCGUUGCCGCUGAGAUGGAGUGGCGAAAUCACGGCAUACGGCUGCGGCACUGCAGCGCCCAACCCCAAGUCUGAAUUUCCCAAGGCCAAGCCCGAGGUAUGUAAACGCUAAUCCCAAACGAGCUGCUCAACUGCACUGAGCUCGCAAUACCUGACCAAGUAUUUCCUUUGUCGUAUUAGUGUGGCGACUAGCGAAACUAAAUCUGUACCAGUCCUAAGCAACGCACAAACUUUGAAAUAGCAAUAGUUUCUUGCGAAAUAUACUUCACGUGACAAAAUAAACCUAAAAGGUUUCUAAAACUCUGUUGUGAUGGACUGAUGGUUAUAUUGUCCUACAAGAUGGCCUAGCUGAGUUUGGGAGUAAAAUUUCAUACAGAUCAAUCAUGGCCAUGAACUCUGAACUUGUGGAGCCCUUUUCUAUUAGAUCACCCCCUCAGUAGUGUUCACCAAGGGCUUGUUUGAUACAGCUUAGGGGUCUUUGAUUUCACCUGCUCUUGCCAAUAUCGCAUAGCAGUGACAGCUCCGGUUCCUAGCAACACAAAAUGAAAUGGGGGAUAGGCGGGAGCAGAGGAAGCCAGAUAUUUUGGGCUUUUUAUCGACUCUUGCUACAUCAUACUACAGUAGUAGAGCUGAAGUCUCGCUAAGGCCUAAGCCCUGUCAAACAAGCCCUAACUUUUUUCCUCGUUAUAUGUUUUCUGACGGUGAACAGUAGGCCACACCCACGUGGGCACCCUUGGCCACGAACUCUGACCGCUCCCCUGCUCUGCUUGUCUGCCACUGCCGUCCCACCAGCCCGUGGAUGCCACCAUGCCCCGCGGCAGUGCCGCCUCUGUGUUCCUUGGUGUCGAUGUUGGUACUGGCAGCGCUCGUGCAGGUUCGCCCCUCGAUUCUCAACUUAAAAGUAUCCUCCUUUUCUUUUGAGGAUUUCUCUCCAUUUUUGUAACUUUCGCUGUUUUAUUAUUAAAUUAGAUCAGUAUGCUAGUAUGAUUAACUUUUCCUCAAGUUGGAUGUAUAAAUCUGAGUAAUUUGCUGCUUUCUAGGGGUAUUUGGAGUCCAAGGUUAUUGGUUGUCCACUGAUGAAUAAAUGGUCGUUCUUCAGUUCUUGAGAGAAAGCUUGUUGUUAGUUACUCCAACAGAGUAAUCUAGGAUAGGCAUUUUAAACAAUUUAUUGGAGACCUACUUAGGAUAGAUGUAUAGAUACCUGCAUAGAGAACACUUUUCAGUCAUGACACGCUUGAUGUCUUAAAAGAAAAUACAGUACUUUACAUAUAACCAAUUUAUACGACACCCUUUGUUUUGUAAGUCAACCACCAACCCAUGUAAUUUCAUCCAUCUGAUCUUGUUGUAAAGGAGUUGUACAUAUGGGUUGUACUUGUACACAUAUUAGGUCAUGUGGAGGCGUAAUAGGUAACUAUUUCAAUUUGUAACAUUUUCUCUCUUUGGUCAAUUUUUAGGUCUCUUUGAUGAAAAGGGCAAGUUGCUGGGGUCGGCUAGCAGCCCUAUACAGAUAUGGAAAGAGAAAGACUGUAUUGAGGUUUGUAACAGUUCUUGCACAUGCAAUGUAUGCAUGAUUAGUUGAUGAAUCAAAUACUGUUUUACCAUAACCAGUUUUUUUUUAUGCCCAGCAAUCAUCAACUGAUAUCUGGCAUGCAGUCUGUGCUGCGGUGAAAUCCGCAUGCUCACUGGCAAAUGUUGCUCCUGAGGAUGUUGCCGGCCUUGGCUUUGCUGCCACUUGCUCCCUUGGUUUGCCUCUAAUACCAUAGUACCUUGCACAUUCUCAUCUUAUUGUGUAGGCUGUAGAGGGAAAAUAUUUACAUUUAAGUAGGAUGCUUCUUGCAGUUGCUGUCGAUGCUGAUGGUUCCCCUGUUUCGGUUUCUUUGAGUGGUGAUACAAGGAGGAAUAUCAUUGUGUGGAUGGACCAUAGAGCUGUGAAUCAGGCAGAGAGAAUCAAUGCUACCAAUUCGCCAGUACUGCAAUACUGCGGUGGGGGUGUUUCCCCAGAAAUGCAGGCUCCAAAGGUUGGGGUGUAAGAUCAUGUACAUUUCAUGCUUAUGGCAUACCAUGCAUGCAUGCAAGCUUUUGGCAUCCUGGUUCACCAUCGGUAGACAAUAAACAGUAAACACUAUUAGUUGCUGCAGCUAGCUGGAAAUACCAGCCACUGUGCUGAUCAUCAGAUAUAAUUUCUUGUCACCCUUCAAUCUUAGAAGUUCAGCUUGAAUGUCUCAGUAAGUCAGAGUACUAGCAUCACCCAUUGCGAAUUGUGAUGUGAUCAAUAUUCUGACUUACCUACAUUAGAUUUGCUGAAUGAGUGGAUGUGUUGCUCAGAAAGCGAUGUACAUGGAUAAUGCUUUGUGAAGUUCACUGUAGUUAAUGCUGUUCUUUAUCGUUUUGAACAUGUAUUCUUAGUCUUCACAUUUGAUCUUUAGUUGUACUGAAAAAUGGUGAAACAAUUGGUGGCAUGCAACAUCAAUUCAUCUCUGUUGCUAGUGUCAUGUUUUGACUGUGCAUUUGCAGCUCUUAUGGAUGAAGGAAAAUCUUCAAGAGUCGUGGUCUAUGGUUUGUAGGUGGAUGGACCUAAGUGACUGGUUAGCAUAUAGGUGAAUCCCUACCUUUGUUUGAUUUUACUGUACCCUGGUGAAUUGCUAUCAUAAUAUACUCUAUUCUGGUACUCUCUUUUUUAGAGCAACAGGUGACGACACUCGCAGCUUAUGCACAACUGUCUGCAAAUGGACAUAUCUUGGACAUGCACACAUGGAGCAGUGGAAGGAAUCUGAUUCACGUGAUAUGGAGGCUUGCGGAUGGGACAAUGUUUUUUGGGAAGAAAUAGGGUUGGGAGACCUCGUGGAAGGAAAUUGUGCAAAAAUAGGUGAAUAAUAGUCUUAUUCCUUUCUGUACUGAAAUUGGUGCAUUUAUAGGUAAAUUGUUUGUUGACUACUCUGAUACAUCAUUAUGGUAUUAUGCAAUGUAAACAGGACGCAGUGUCGCUUUUCCUGGUCAUCCUCUUGGUUCUGGUUUGACACCUACUGCUGCAAAGGCAAGCAACUUCCUUGUGCUCAGUAUCUUUAUGUAGUAUGGUUUAAGCUUACUUUAUGAUAACCUGUAUCAUAUACAAGACAUUGCAAUCUAGUUGUAUAGGUGUUUUUUCUACAAUAUGUUUAAACAAGACGUUCCUAUGCUGUCAAUGUCUGUUGUUCAUGAUUUGAUGUUGGUAACCUUUAAAUUCCAGGAGUUAGGCUUACUUCCUGGUACUCCUGUUGGAACUUCACUUAUUGAUGCUCAUGCUGGUGGAGUUGGAGUCAUGGAAAGCGUUUCAGAUGCAGGAUCUAAAGCUGGUUGUCAGUGAUGAGUAAUUUUGUGUUUUGCUAGAGAAUUUGCUUUCAAAACUUUGUGUAUGUUAUAUAUAUUCUAACAUGUUUUUAACAGUGUCCGAUGAAGAUGCAAUAUGUCACCGGAUGGUAUUGGUAUGUGGGACAUCAACAUGCCACAUGGCUGUUUCAAAGAACAGAUUGUUUAUACCUGGUGUCUGGGGGCCGUUCUGGUCUGGUACAGCUGCUUUCUCAAAUAUAUAUUUUUUAUUUUUCUCAAUAACAAAUUCAACCAGCAUUUAUGUUGUUUUUUUACUCUCUAUUGUGCUUCCUUUUGGCUAAUAUUACAUUGUGCUUCCAAAUUCAGCAAUGGUACCUGAGUUUUGGCUCACAGAAGGUGGCCAAAGUGCAACUGGCGCUCUACUCGAUUACAUUAUUGAAAACCAUGUUGCCUCUCCUCUUCUUUCUAACCAUGCUGCUUCUCAAAGUAUGUUUCAUGUACUCUCAAGGACGUUAUCUUUGUAGCUAUCUGAACCCAGAAAAAAGAACUUAACUUUUUGCUCAAAUUACCAGGUAUAUCCAUAUUUGAGCUACUGAACAAGAUGUUGCUUUCUAUGUCACAUGAGCAGAAUAGUCCGUUUCUUUCUGCAUUAACUCAAGACACCCAUGUACUUCCGGAUUUUCAUGGAAAUCGGUAAGAAAUAGACAGUACAUAAUUACUUAUUUAGUGCAUAACAAUAUUCUAAAUGUUGGUAAUAUCCAACAUCUACAGUUGCUCUCUUUCACCUGUUGGUGAGAACUUUUGGCAUUACAUUAAAUUUUGUACAAUGUACGUAUCAAAUUUGCAGCAAGAUGCUUUUCUUCUGUUUGCCAUCAUAAUUAGAUGGCCAACAAACAGUACAACAGAAUGAAACAGCUAAAGCAGAAAGGCAUCAUAUAUUUCUAUACAUCACAAUCACACCAGAAUGGUGGCAUAGCAUACUGUUUAUGUUGUUUCAUGAAAUCUAACUGAAAAUUGCAGAGAAAUAAUCUUUAAGUGGUACACUUCCAAUGUGUUUGACUUGAAUGCAAACUAUUAUAGGUCUCCUGUUGCUGAUCCAAAAUCCAAAGGAGUGAUUUAUGGCUUGACACUUGAUACAAGUGAGAAGCAUUUAGCUCUUCUGUACCUAGCAACAGUUCAGGGUAUUGCUUAUGGCACUCGUCAUAUUGUGGAGCAUUGUAAUGCUCAUGGCCACAAGGUACUUAUUAAGGACUUCAUCAGAUUGGUAUAGUUCUGCUUGCCAAGAUUACUCAUAUUCCCUUUUUAUAUAAUAGAUAGACACACUUCUUGCUUGUGGGGGACUUGCAAAGAAUUCUGUGUAUAUCCAAGAGCAUGCAGAUAUUACCGGUAAGUCCUAUCUUCUUGCAAUCAUGCCUCUCCAGCCUCAUCCCUCUCUGAUGUAUCAUCUUUUGCAUGCACUCUGCAGGAUGUCCUAUAAUACUUCCUAGAGAGAAUGAGUCUGUGCUUUUGGGUGCUGCUGUUCUGGGUGCUGUUGCUGGCAAGAAGUUUCUGGGUGUUCGUGAUGCAAUGAAGGCGCUUAAUGCAGCAGGGAAGGUAUUUCCCAUUAUCUUUCUUCAAUUGGGCUCCAUGCUGCUCAUUAAACACUGCAUAAAUUCUUAACUUGGAUCUUUUUUGUGGCUGCUGGUUAUGACUCGAAUAUAUUUGUUUUUCAGGUCGUAAAUCCAUCUUCAGAUCCUAGGGUGAAGAAAUACCAUGAUGCAAAAUAUCAGAUAUUCAGGUCCCUGUAUGAGCAGCAACUCUCUCAUCGCUCGACCAUGGCACAAGCAUUGCAAUAGGGCUGUAUGGUCACUUUGGCUCUUCACUCUUGGUUAUUAAUACCCUUGUUUUCAUGGCAAUGUUUUAUUGGCUUAUUUACAUGUAAUCAAUGUCGCCUUGAGUGAUAGAAGCCAUGAUAAGAUGCAUGUAUAAAUAUAAGAAAACUGGUAAGAUGAUCUUUUCACUGGAAUGUGAAAUCUCCAAGUUCGUGCAAUGUUAAUAAAAGAAAAGGAGCUUGAUAAGCGCUCAGCAUGUACAUUUGGAGGUUCUGGAAUCAAUAAAAAUGUAUCUCAUGGUUAUAAUGCAUAUGGAAAAGUUGUCUUGUCAUUAUGUGUGCCCGAUUUUGUUGCAAGUUACAACACAAUCAGUGCUGAACAUGCAUGGGCAAGGACGCUGACUUUAGUCCUGCUCAGUUUGAUCAUCUUCUGUUGCCUGGAGGCAUUCUUUGGCCUCUAAGAUGUGUUCUGUGUUGGCAUCCAAAUCAGAUGGGCUGCCAGGUUGUUGUACAACACUAAGCCAGCUUGAUAGGCUUUUGCAGAACUGCUCACAUCAGAUACUGCAAUGCUCAUCGUAAAACGUGCAUCCCAUGAUCUUGAAGUGAAGUCAAAAGUCAACAGAACUAAAAGAACAGCAAGGCCUUAGCCAAAAGAGUCAGAUCAGGAGUCUUUGGAGACUUAGGCCUUGUUUACUUGGUGAAAAAUUUUAGGUUUGGCUAUUGUAGUACUUUUAUUUGUUUGACAAUUAUAGACUAACUAGGCUCAAAAGAUUCGUCUCGUAAAUUACAUGCAAUUAAUUAUUUUUUUAUCUAUAUUUAAUGCUCUAUGUAUACGUCCAAAGAAUUGAUGUGAUGGAGAAUCUUGAAAAUUUUUGAGAUUUUGGGGUGAAUUGAACAAUGCCUUAGGCUUUGUUUAGUUCUAAAAUUUUUUCAAGAUUUUCCAUCACAUUGAAUCUUUGGACGCAUGCAUGGAGUACUAAAUAUAAACAAAUACAAAAACAAAUUACAUAGUUUGUCUGUAAUUUACAAGAUGAAUUUUUUGAAUCUAGUUAGUCCAUGAUUUGACAAUAAUUAUUAAAUAAAAAUAAAAGUGCUACAGUAGCCAAAGUCAAUUUUUUUCCAACUAAACAAGGACCAAGAUAUUAGGAAAGAGAGGUGCUGGGUCGUGCUGGGCUGUGGGCCCGUUUAAGUAGUUGGGUCUAGGCCCAUGGCCCCAACUAAAACAUACGCGAAAAAAGCAUAGCGCAUCAUUGCUCGGGUCCAACACGCUUACAGCUUCCUCUAAAAAAAACGCUUACGGCUUACCAAAUCAACAAUGUGACCAAUGUUUCAGGCUCAGUUAAGUUAUAGUCAUACAAUACAUGCUCCUUUUUUUUUUGAAAAAAGGGAAACUAAAAUAAGAUAUAGUGCCAGUGCGGCCUACCCGUGGUCGCGAUAGUAAUCAUGCCAUGGAAUGGACGCAGCGCGAUUUGCUCGAUCGAAGGCGUGAUAUGCGUGCUAACGUGGCUAAAAGUAAUAAAUGAUGCUCUGAAAUCCGAAAGACGAGGCAGGAUGAGUAUACUAUGCUCUGCCAUGGCCCUCCUCCAGCAAAUCUGACGUGUUUGGUGAGUUGCCACGGCGUGUAUAAAUGGCGCGCUCGGCGAUCGUCUCCAGCAUUCGCAGUCUCGCACUCUCCGAGAGCUAAGCCAUAGUGAGCAAGGGAAUUUACUGAGUGAGCCUACACCGUUGUUGCUAGCACUACUGCUCCAGCUCCAUUCUAUAUAGCACAAAAACAGCAGCUACACGUACGCAGGCUUGAUGGCCAGCUUUGCUGCUCAGCUCAAGGACAAGUUCCUCAGCCUCGUCGACCGUGUCACCGGCUGGGGUGGCUGUGGCACCGGCGCCGGCAGAGACAAGGAUGUGACAGAGGCCACCAAGCUGCCAAAUGUCCAGCAGGUCCUGCUCUAGAAUCUCACCUCUCAGUUUGCUGUUAAUUGUUACUGUUACAUAAGGUUUUGUUUAGGUUACUGAAGUAUGUGCCCCAUGUGUUUGUGAUUUUGCACUUACAGCCCGUCGAGAUCAGGUCGAGAGAUCCCGUUGUGGGCGGAGGAUCGGUGGCUGGAGCCAAUUGAUUGAUACUGUCAAACAAGGUCGCUUGAGAUUGUUAUACCUGGUGUUAUUAUUUGUCUUUCUUUUUCCUCAAAGGAAGUUCAUUUCAAAAACGCAUAAAAUGUAUGUGUUGUGUUAUUAAUUGAUUUCACCUUCAUGAUUGUAAUUAAACCUUGUGGAUGUUUUCCUUUUCCCUUUUUAUUUUGCUUCGUUUGGUUUUACCAUUGUAAUUCCGAUUGUGUGAGUGUGUUAUCUCCGAGUAAAUAAAAAGUAAUGAUUUCCUUUUCCCUCUCGCUGAAUUUUGUUCAUCCGAUUUGAUUUGAGUAUAUUUAAAUAAAGAUGUGUGCUUGUAUUCUUUUUAUGAACAGUAUUAUAUUUAAUG